UACGGAGGGUGCGAGCGUUGUCCGGAAUCAUUGGGCGUAAAGGGCGCGUAGGUGGCCCGGUCAGUUCGUGGUGAAAGCGCGGGGCUCAACCCUGCGUCGGCCAUGAAUACUGCCGCGGCUGGAGCACUGUAGAGGCAGGCGGAAUUCCGGGUGUAGCGGUGGAACGCGUAGAGAUCCGGAAGAACACCGGUGGCGAAGGCGGCCUGCUGGGCAGUUUUGCUGACACUGAGGCGCGACAGCGUGGGGAGCAAACAGG
rnacentral:rRNA from 1 species